rnacentral:rRNA from 1 species
GCAAGUCGAACGGCAGCGCGGGGAGCUUGCUCCCUGGCGGCGAGUGGCGAACGGGUGAGUAAUGCUUGGGAAUCUGCCCUGUAGUGGGGGACAACCCGGGGAAACUCGUGCUAAUACCGCAUACGUCCUACGGGAGAAAGUGGGGGAUCUUCGGACCUCACGCUACUGGAUGAGCCCAAGUCGGAUUAGCUUGUUGGUGGGGUAAAGGCCUACCAAGGCGACGAUCCGUAGCUGGUCUGAGAGGACGAUC